rnacentral:rRNA from 1 species
GAUGAACGCUGGCGGCGUGCCUAAUACAUGCAAGUCGAGCGAACGGACGAGAAGCUUGCUUCUCUGAUGUUAGCGGCGGACGGGUGAGUAACACGUGGAUAACCUACCUAUAAGACUGGGAUAACUUCGGGAAACCGGAGCUAAUACCGGAUAAUAUUUUGAACCGCAUGGUUCAAAAGUAAAAGACGGUCUUGCUGUCACUUAUAGAUGGAUCCGCGCUGCAUUAGCUAGUUGGUAAGGUAACGGCUUACCAAGGCAACGAUGCAUAGCCGACCUGAGAGGGUGAUCGGCCACACUGGAACUGAGACACGGUCCAGACUCCUACGGGAGGCAGCAGUAGGGAAUCUUCCGCAAUGGGCGAAAGCCUGACGGAGCAACGCCGCGUGAGUGAUGAAGGUCUUCGGAUCGUAAAACUCUGUUAUUAGGGAAUAACAUAUGUGUAAGUAACUGUGCACAUCUUGACGGUACCUAAUCAGAAAGCCACGGCUAACUACGUG